AACGCUAGCUACAGGCUUAACACAUGCAAGUCGAGGGGAAACGACAUCGAAAGCUUGCUUUUGAUGGGCGUCGACCGGCGCACGGGUGAGUAACGCGUAUCCAACCUGCCCACCACUUGGGGAUAACCUUGCGAAAGUAAGACUAAUACCCAAUGAUAUCCCACGAAGGCAUCCGAAUGGGAUUAAAGAUUUAUCGGUGAUGGAUGGGGAUGCGUCUGAUUAGCUUGUUGGCGGGGUAACGGCCCACCAAGGCAACGAUCAGUAGGGGUUCUGAGAGGAAGGUCCCCCACAUUGGAACUGAGACACGGUCCAAACUCCUACGGGAGGCAGCAGUGAGGAAUAUUGGUCAAUGGGCGAGAGCCUGAACCAGCCAAGUAGCGUGCAGGACGACGGCCCUAUGGGUUGUAAACUGCUUUUAUAAGGGAAUAAAGUGAGUCUCGUGAGACUUUUUGCAUGUACCUUAUGAAUAAGGACCGGCUAAUUCCGUGCCAGCAGCCGCGGUAAUACGGAAGGUCCGGGCGUUAUCCGGAUUUAUUGGGUUUAAAGGGAGCGUAGGCCGGAGAUUAAGCGUGUUGUGAAAUGUAGUGGCUCAACCUCUGCACUGCAGCGCGAACUGGUCUUCUUGAGUACGCACAACGUGGGCGGAAUUCGUGGUGUAGCGGUGAAAUGCUUAGAUAUCACGAAGAACUCCGAUUG
rnacentral:rRNA from 1 species